GUUGCUUGAUGUUCACAUUUCUCGGCUGAGGUUGAAUGAGGCUCCAGAAACUGACCAGCAAGCCUGCAGACCAGCAGAUGGAUGGAGGAAUGACGGGGCAGAGAAAGGGAGAAGAGGAGGAACAUCUGAACGCCAAGAGGAAUAAGGCUGGGGGCAGUCCGAAAGGAUUCUGUUUGCUGGGCGGCCCGACCCCAGGGGAGGAUCAUUUUCCCACUCCAUCCCCUGCUUCUGACUCCCCAUUUAUCCUGCUGAAAGUCACCUCCACCUCCACCUCCACCACUCAAUAAAACUUCG
rnacentral:lncRNA from 1 species